GCUUUCAUGGUGUAGUGGUCAGCACGCUUGGCCCAUAUUCAAGAGGUCCGUGGUUCGAAUCCCGGCGAGAGCA
rnacentral:tRNA from 1 species